rnacentral:lncRNA from 1 species
UUAUCUCUUUCCUAUUCCGUAUGUUCUUGCUCCUUGUGUUUGCAUCUCUCUCGAUGAAUUCGUUCACGUCCGGCGGAGGAACUCUCUCCCGUGGAAGCCCUCUGACCCUGCAUGGCCCCGCAAAGGAGUACAGGCCUAGCAGAGGAGCUCAAGCCCAACCAUCCCUGCGGCUCGGGACAGCGGAAGGCGGCAGAUCUAGGUAGUGUCGGCCUCGUGUGGGCUUCAAGCGGCGUCGAUUAUCGAAAUUGAUGCUUGAGCGAUGUCAAAUGGAGCUCGAGCUCUUCGACCUCGGCAGCCACCGUGCGAGUCCCAGCACCCUCUGCAUGCUCCUUGCUCCUCAAUUCGAUUUGCGUCGGAACCGGAUUUGCCGCUCGAUUUGUCAGCAACAAAUCGAGCUCGAGCUCAAGUUGCCGUUUCCUAGCAUGGUACGGCGGGCGGUGCUGCUGCGUGUGUAGGAGUUGUGGCGG